CCUACGGGUGGCUGCAGUGGGGAAUAUUGGACAAUGGGGGCAACCCUGAUCCAGCCAUGCCGCGUGUGUGAAGAAGGCCCUCGGGUUGUAAAGCACUUUCAGUGAGGAAGAACGCCUGGUGGUUAAUACCCAUCGGGAAAGACAUCACUCACAGAAGAAGCACCGGCUAACUCCGUGCCAGCAGCCGCGGUAAUACGGAGGGUGCGAGCGUUAAUCGGAAUUACUGGGCGUAAAGCGCGCGUAGGUGGCUUGAUAAGCCGGUUGUGAAAGCCCCGGGCUCAACCUGGGAACGGCAUCCGGAACUGUCAAGCUAGAGUGCAGGAGAGGAAGGUAGAAUUCCCGGUGUAGCGGUGAAAUGCGUAGAGAUCGGGAGGAAUACCAGUGGCGAAGGCGGCCUUCUGGACUGACACUGACACUGAGGUGCGAAAGCGUGGGUAGCAAACAGGAUUAGAUACCCCAGUAGUC
rnacentral:rRNA from 1 species